UUUAAUUCGAAGCAACGCGCAGAACCUUACCAGCCGUUGACAUGGCGGGACGGGCGAGAGAGAUUUCGUCCUUCACUUCGGUGACCCGCGCACAGGUGCUGCAUGGCUGUCGUCAGCUCGUGUCGUGAGAUGUUGGGUUAAGUCCCGCAACGAGCGCAACCCACGUCCUCAGUUGCCAUCAUUGAGUUGGGCACUCUGGGGAGACUGCCGGUGAUAAGCCGCGAGGAAGGUGUGGAUGACGUCAAGUCCUCAUGGCCCUUACGGGCUGGGCUACACACGUGCUACAAUGGCGGUGACAGAGGGACGCGAACCCGCGAGGGCCAGCCAAUCUCGAAAAGCCGUCUCAGUUCGGAUUGCACUCUGCAACUCGAGUGCAUGAAGUUGGAAUCGCUAGUAAUCGUGGAUCAGCACGCCA
rnacentral:rRNA from 1 species